CGGCCCCGCCCCCGUGGCCCCGCCCCUACUCGAGGCCAGGGCUGCAAAUGAGGCCUGUUUGAAGGGAAGGCCGCAAGCACCGCCGGCCCUUUCCCCUUGCCUUCUGCCUCGAGGGAAGAGGGCAGCCCUGGGCUCAAUGGCUGCCGGGCCAAGAGAACCGGGGCCCUGGACUCAUCGGAUCCAUUUACUGCUGAAACUUGUAGAUACUUGAAAUAUUAUGUCAUCCAUGACAAAGACUAAUGUUGCCAAUGAAAAACAGCCAAGUGUGAGACAUGUUCUGGAAAUGUGAUGGCCAGGAAUAAACUGGGACAAAGUCAGCCAAAUGCAUGACAUGAAUAGUGGGACUCAAAUGAAGAAGAGCUGGAGGAGAAGACAAGAAGAACAUGGAAUAAUAUAAGAAGAUACUACCAUUAGGUUUUAAAUUAGAUGACAAUAUUAUUCCUCUUUUUGUUACAGAUGAUAUAUGGAAUUUGCAAUAUUUUAAUACUUUAAGUAAUGUGUGUGUAAGGGUAAUAGCAAUGAAAAAUUAGAUGUAACAACUAUAAUUUUGUACAAUAUCUUUCCCUCCAUCUCCUCAACCCCCCUCCCUGUCCCCAGGGACAGACUAGAUAAUUGUAAAGAGCUAACCUACUAACAAUAACUUAAUUACCCCACCCUCCCUUUUUUUUCCUUUUUACCCAACUGUUUCAUUUUCUCCUCUUCUGUACAAAAAACUGGAAAUAUUCAAUAAAAUGUUCUUUUAAAAAAAUCUUCUGAGAAAGAAACAUAAUUUGUGCUUUUGACUUUUAUCCAAAAAAAAUCUUAAAUGAUCAAGAAGAGAAUUCCUCAAGUAUUUCAGCUACUAUCUACUGAACCCAGCCCCAGGAUGACAACACAGCAAGCCUAUUGAAUCCAUGGGGGAUGCAUUCUUGGCCAGAUUACAGUUACCUGAAACUAAAGAUAUGACUGAACUAUUAACAUAACUUACUUCUACAUGCUAUUGAAUUUCAUUGAAAGACAUAGAGAGCUUUUCUGGAAAAUGUUCUGGGUCUUCCAAGUCAACUCUAUGGCAACUUCCAGGGGAGGCAUACCAUAGAAUAUUUAC